GUUUGCCUUAGUGGUAACAAGCUCAGCCUCUACUGAUUUUUGCUUCUAGUAACUUUUGUAUUUGCUCCCUCGCAGGUUUUUACCUGAGGCUUUGUUUACCUUGCUGAGACCCGACUUCGUUCCAGAGACACGGACCAAGCUGGCGGCUUCCCGCUUCCUUCAACUCCAAGACCAAGGCGUAAGCGUACCCUGUUCAACCCUCCAUCGCAAGCAUCGGCACCUGUGCUUCAUCUGGUUUGCACCAAACCAGCAGCAGAGAAGACAACUGAACAACCUCACUUCGCAAGCUAAGACUCUGAAUCUCUCUACCCCUGGUGGUUCAAGCAACAGCAAUUUAUUGGUGUUUCCAGUUCUCAUCCCUGAUUACUUUGCUGACAAAAACACGUUAAACUUUACUUCUGAGUGUUUUCUGUAUGUGGGUCAGAACUGUGUUGAAACUGACAAAGGGAAGUGGAAGGUUCAAACCCCAUGUUUU